rnacentral:rRNA from 1 species
UACAGAGGUCCCAAGCGUUGUUCGGAUUCACUGGGCGUAAAGGGUGCGUAGGUGGUUGGGUAAGUCUGAUGUGAAAUCUCGGAGCUUAACUCCGAAACUGCAUUCGAUACUGCCGUGCUUGAGGACUGGAGAGGAGACUGGAAUUUACGGUGUAGCGGUGAAAUGCGUAGAUAUCGUAAGGAAGACCAGUGGCGAAGGCGGGUCUCUGGACAGUUCCUGACGCUGAGGCACGAAGGCCAGGGGAGCAAACGGG